UACGUAGGGUGCGAGCGUUGUCCGGAAUUACUGGGCGUAAAGAGCUCGUAGGUGGUUUGUCGCGUUGUUCGUGAAAACCGGGGGCUUAACCCUCGGCGUGCGGGCGAUACGGGCAGACUUGAGUACUGCAGGGGAGACUGGAAUUCCUGGUGUAGCGGUGGAAUGCGCAGAUAUCAGGAGGAACACCGGUGGCGAAGGCGGGUCUCUGGGCCGAUACUGACGCUGAGGCACGAAAGCUAGGGGAGCAAACAGG
rnacentral:rRNA from 1 species